rfam:Salmo salar isolate Sally breed double haploid chromosome ssa06, whole genome shotgun sequence.
GGGACUCACUACUGUAAGUCGCUCUGGAUAAGAGUGUCUGCUAAAUGACUCAAA